AUACGUAGGUGGCAAGCGUUGUCCGGAUUUAUUGGGCGUAAAGCGAGCGCAGGCGGUCUCUUAAGUCUGAUGUGAAAGCCCCCGGCUCAACCGGGGAGGGUCAUUGGAAACUGGGAGACUUGAGUGCAGAAGAGGAGAGUGGAAUUCCAUGUGUAGCGGUGAAAUGCGGAGAUAUAUGGAGGAACACCAGUGGCGAAGGCGGCUCUCUGGUCUGUAACUGACGCUGAGGCUCGAAAGCGUGGGGAGCAAACAGGAUUAGAUACCCUGGUAGUCCACGCCGUAAACGAUGAGUGCUAAGUGUUGGAGGGUUUCCGCCCUUCAGUGCUGCAGCUAACGCAUUAAGCACUCCGCCUGGGGAGUACGGCCGCAAGGCUGAAACUCAAAUGAAUUGACGGGG
rnacentral:rRNA from 1 species